AUUGAACGCUGGCGGCAUGCCUAACACAUGCAAGUCGAACGGGGCAGCAAUGCCUAGUGGCGGACGGGUGAGGAAUACGUAGGAAUCUGCCCUUAAGUGGGGGAUAACCAGGGGAAACCCUGACUAAUACCGCAUGAUCUCUUCGGAGCAAAGAGGGGGACCGCAAGGCCUCUCGCUUCUGGAUGAGCCUACGUCUGAUUAGCUAGUUGGUAGGGUAAAGGCCUACCAAGGCGACGAUCAGUAACUGGUCUGAGAGGAUGAUCAGUCACACCGGAACUGAGACACGGUCCGGACUCCUACGAGAGGAAGGAGUGGGGAAUAUUGGACAAUGGGCGCAAGCAUGAUCCAGCAAUGGCGCGUGUGUGAAGAAGGCCUUCGGGUUGUAAAGCACUUUAGCCUGGAAAGAAAAAACUUUGGUUAACACCCAAAGUCUUGACGGUACCAGGAGAAUAAGCACCGGCUAACUCUGUGCCAGCAUCCCGGUAAUAC
rnacentral:rRNA from 1 species